ACGGAGGGGGCAAGCGUUGUUCGGAUUUACUGGGCGUAAAGGGUGUGUAGGCGGCUGCGUAAGUCUGGUGUGAAAUCUUCACCGCUUAACGGGAAGAGGUCACUGGAAACUGCGUAGCUCGAGUGUGGUAGAGGCAAGCGGAAUUCCUGGUGUAGCGGUGGAAUGUUAAAAUAUCAGGAAGAACACCUGUGGCGAAAGCGGCUUGCUGGGCCAUCACUGACGCUGAGACACGAAAGCGUGGGGAGCGAACGG
rnacentral:rRNA from 1 species